GAUGAACGCUAGCGGCAGGCCUAAUACAUGCAAGUCGAACGAUAGAAGAGAGCUCGCUCUCUUUAAAAGUGGCGCACGGGUGCGUAACGCGUAUGCAACCUACCUUAAUCAGGGGGAUAGCCCGAAGAAAUUCGGAUUAACACCGCAUAAAAUCACAGUACAGCAUUGUACAAUGAACAAAUAUUUAUAGGAUUAAGAUGGGCAUGCGUGACAUUAGCUAGUUGGCGGGGUAACGGCCCACAAAGGCGACGAUGUCUAGGGGAUCUGAGAGGAUGACCCCCCACACUGGUACUGAGACACGGACCAGACUCCUACGGGAGGCAGCAGUAAGGAAUAUUGGUCAAUGGAGGGAACUCUGAACCAGCCAUGCCGCGCGCAGGAAGACAGCCCUCUGGGUCGUAAACUGCUUUUAUUCGGGAAUAAACCUACUUACGUGUAAGUAGCUGAAUGUACCGAAGGAAUAAGGAUCGGCUAACUCCGUGCCAGCCGCCGCCGUAA
rnacentral:rRNA from 1 species